GUUGAACGCUGGCGGCAGGCCCAACACAUGCAAGUCGAGCGGAUGAAGGGAGCUUGCUCCUGGAUUCAGCGGCGGACGGGUGAGUAAUGCCUAGGAAUCUGCCUGGUAGUGGGGGAUAACGUCCGGAAACGGGCGCUAAUACCGCAUACGUCCUGAGGGAGAAAGUGGGGGAUCUUCGGACCUCACGCUAUCAGAUGAGCCUAGGUCGGAUUAGCUAGUUGGUGGGGUAAAGGCCUACCAAGGCGACGAUCCGUAACUGGUCUGAGAGGAUGAUCAGUCACACUGGAACUGAGACACGGUCCAGACUCCUACGGGAGGCAGCAGUGGGGAAUAUUGGACAAUGGGCGAAAGCCUGAUCCAGCCAUGCCGCGUGUGUGAAGAAGGUCUUCGGAUUGUAAAGCACUUUAAGUUGGGAGGAAGGGCAGUAAGUUAAUACCUUGCUGUUUUGACGUUACCAACAGAAUAAGCACCGGCUAACUUCGUG
rnacentral:rRNA from 1 species